GGUUUCAUUGCUCCCCGCAUUUAGUCAGAUUUACAGUUUUAACUCGACUUCUUCUCCCUUCAGUUUUCAAGCGUUACACAAUCAAAGCUCCCAUUCCCAUCAUACGUUACGAAUAAAAAAGAUCCCUAUUAACGGCUCCAUUAAGUCUGCUAAUCAAUCCCUGAAGCUCCAAUUACAUAAACCUCAAAAGAGGCAAGAGGUUUCUUCCAAAGGUUUUGAAUUUCUUUUCAGACCAUGCUUUCUCACACCCUAUUUUUGUUGGUAGAGGACACAUUGAGAAAAGAACCAACGUCCAUCUCAGAUUAUUAAUUGGGCUCAACACUGAUUCUAACAAGGUACCUUCCCCGAAGUGGAUCACCUACCACAAUAUUAGCCGAGAGUUGCAAAAUUGUCCAGUGCGAGAUCUGCGGUUUAUCAUUUGCUCCUCCUGUAUUUGAGCCUCUAUGGCAACUGCUCCUCAAAUAAAGGAGGGAUUGGCCACACUGAUGCGAAGACAUCGAGCCUCUAUGACUGAUGCUUAAAUAGAUGAAAAGAGGAUUUGCAACCGAGAGCAGCAUGCACAACAAGAAUACAGUUCUCAGCAUCGAGUAUCUGAAGACUGUAGUUUGUGCUAACUAUGUAGGAUUUCUGCUCCGACAAUUCUCCUAAAAGUUCGUGGGCAGUUGUUGAAUGCUCGAAGGCUUCAACUUCGUCACCCGGAUUCCUUGCUUGAAGCUGACAAUUGUGAACCAUUGGAGCACGAAAUCAACAGUUGUUGCAGCAAGCAGAAGACACCCAAAGAUGCGCAGGAAGGAGAAAAUUCUGAAGCAUCGCAUUUACCCAAGGAUGUGAUGGGCGAUGUUUCGUAUUCUGUAGUGUGGGAUCAGCAACCCAUAUCUUAGAUGAUACCAUCUCCAGAGAAGGUCCGGUAUUUUCAGUGGUUCAUACUGCUCCUAUGUACUCCACUUUUAGCUUGGUGCCCACUUAUGUUGGGAACCCAGUUUGGCUUGGUCCUGUAUUAUUGCCUGCUAUGUACAUUUCUCACAUAUAAGGUUUCCAUCUCUUUUUAACAUUUUUCUUAGACUCCUGUACAAUGAGUUAGCAUGGGAAGAUUUUGUACAAAACAUUCUUACCGGGGUAGUGGGGUAGUGGUGUAAUUUCUGAAAAUAAUUUAUUAUUAGUACAUCUUUUGUUCUAA